UACGUAGGGGGCAAGCGUUGUCCGGAUUUAUUGGGCGUAAAGAGCUCGUAGGCGGCUCGUCGCGUCAGCUGUGAAAACCCGCGGCUUAACCGUGGGCUUGCAGCUGAUACGGGCGGGCUAGAGUUCGGUAGGGGAGACUGGAAUUCCUGGUGUAGCGGUGAAAUGCGCAGAUAUCAGGAGGAACACCGGUGGCGAAGGCGGGUCUCUGGGCCGAUACUGACGCUGAGGAGCGAAAGCGUGGGGAGCGAACAGG
rnacentral:rRNA from 1 species